rnacentral:rRNA from 1 species
AACGAACGCUGGCGGCAGGCCUAACACAUGCAAGUCGAACGCUCGUAGCAAUACGGGAGUGGCGCACGGGUGAGUAACGCGCGGGCACCUGCCCGGUGGUACGGAAUAACCGCGGGAAACUGCGGCUAAUACCGAAUACGCCCUUAGGGGGAAAGAUUAUCGCCAUCGGAUGGGCCCGUGUAGGAUUAGCUAGUUGGUGAGGUAACGGCUCACCAAGGCGACGAUCCUUAGCUGGUCUGAGAGGAUGAUCAGCCACACUGGGACUGAGACACGGCCCAGACUCCUACGGGAGGCAGCAGUGGGGAAUAUUGGACAAUGGGGGCAACCCUGAUCCAGCCAUGCCGCGUGAGUGAUGAAGGCCUUCGGGAUGUAAAGCUCUUUUGGCGGGGACGAUGAUGACGGUACCCGCAGAAUAAGCCCCGGCUAACUUCGUGCCAGCCGCCGCCGUAAAAC